GGGCUCGCAGGCGGUUUCUUAAGUCUGAUGUGAAAGCCCCCGGCUCAACCGGGGAGGGUCAUUGGAAACUGGGGAACUUGAGUGCAGAAGAGGAGAGUGGAAUUCCACGUGUAGCGGUGAAAUGCGUAGAGAUGUGGAGGAACACCAGUGGCGAAGGCGACUCUCUGGUCUGUAACUGACGCUGAGGAGCGAAAGCGUGGGGAGCGAACAGGAUUAGAUACCCUGGUAGUCCACGCCGUAAACGAUGAGUGCUAAGUGUUAGGGGGUUUCCGCCCCUUAGUGCUGCAGCUAACGCAUUAAGCACUCCGCCUGGGGAGUACGGUCGCAAGACUGAAACUCAAAGGAAUUGACGGGGGCCCGCACAAGCGGUGGAGCAUGUGGUUUAAUUCGAAGCAACGCGAAGAACCUUACCAGGUCUUGACAUCCUCUGACAAUCCUAGAGAUAGGACGUCCCCUUCGGGGGCAGAGUGACAGGUGGUGCAUGGUUGUCGUCAGCUCGUGUCGUGAGAUGUUGGGUUAAGUCCCGCAACGAGCGCAACCCUUGAUCUUAGUUGCCAGCAUUCAGUUGGGCACUCUAAGGUGACUGCCGGUGACAAACCGGAGGAAGGUGGGGAUGACGUCAAAUCAUCAUGCCCCUUAUGACCUGGGCUACACACGUGCUACAAUGGA
rnacentral:rRNA from 1 species